rnacentral:rRNA from 1 species
UACGGGGGGGGCAAGCGUUGUUCGGAAUUACUGGGCGUAAAGGGCGCGUAGGCGGCCUGUUAAGUCGAACGUGAAAUCCCUAGGCUCAACCUAGGAACUGCGUCCGAUACUGGCAGGCUUGAAUCCGGGAGAGGGAUGCGGAAUUCCAGGUGUAGCGGUGAAAUGCGUAGAUAUCUGGAGGAACACCGGUGGCGAAGGCGGCAUCCUGGACCGGCAUUGACGCUGAGGCGCGAAAGCCAGGGGAGCAAACGGG